rnacentral:misc_RNA from 1 species
UUUGUUCUUGUGCAAUAAAAACCUGCAAUAAAUAAAAGUUGGAUAUCAUGAUAUUUGGGCAGGAAAAACGUUAAAAACAAAUACUAAUAUGAUCAAUAACUUGCAUAGCACAUUCAAUAAAGGCACAACACUUCAGUAAAAAAGAAGAAUAAAUGAAGAAAUUGGAAACAUAAUAAACUAAUACAGCAAGAUGCAAGUCCAGGCAAAAAGAUUAUUUAAUUCAACCUCAAUAUAGAAAAUAAGAAUAGUAAGUGAUUAACAGCAGAUAUGACCAAGG